rnacentral:rRNA from 1 species
CCUACGGGUGGCAGCAGUGGGGAAUAUUGGGCAAUGGGCGCAAGCCUGACCCAGCAACGCCGCGUGAAGGAAGAAGGCUUUCGGGUUGUAAACUUCUUUUAAGAGGGAAGAGCAGAAGACGGUACCUCUUGAAUAAGCUACGCCUAACUACGUGCCAGCAGCCGCGGUAAUACGUAGGUGGCAAGCGUUGUCCGGAUUUACUGGGUGUAAAGGGCUUGCAGUCGGGCGGACAAGUCAGAUGUGAAAUCCCGUGGCUCAACCACGGAACUGCAUUUGAAACUGUCGGUCUUGAGGAUCGGAGAGGCAGGCGGAAUUCCUGGUGUAGCGGUGAAAUGCGUAGAUAUUAGGAGGAACACCAGUGGCGAAGGCGGCCUGCUGGACGACAACGGACGGUGAGGCGCGAAAGCGUGGGGAGCAAACAGGAUUAGAUACCCCAGUAGUC